UAAAACGGGNGGNNGNCUUUGGGAAUCUUCCGCAAUGGACGAAAGUCUGACGGAGCAACUCCGCGUGAACGAAGAAGGCCUUCCGGUCGUAAAGUUCUGUUGUUAAGGUAAAACAAGUACCCCAGUAACUGCUGGUACCUUGAAGGGACCUAACCUAAAAACCACGGGUAAAUACUUGCCAGCAGCCGCGAUAAUACGUAGGUGGCAAGCGUUGUCCAGAAUUAUUGGGCGUAUAGCGCCCGCCCGUGGUUUCUUAAGUCUGAUGUGAAAACCCACCGCUUCACCGGGGGAGGUCUUUGGAAACUGGGGAACUUUGAUGCUAAAGAGGAAAGUGGAAUUUCUAGUGUAACGGUGAAAUGCCUAAAUAUUUUGAGGAACACCCCUGGCGAAAGCGACUUUUCGGUCUGUAACUGACAAUGAGGGGCGAAAACCUGUGGAACGAAAAUGAUUAGAUUCCCUGGCAACCACCCCCCUAAAAGAAGAAGGGCUAAUGUUAAAAGGUUUCCCCCUUUUAA
rnacentral:rRNA from 1 species